rnacentral:rRNA from 1 species
AAAGUUACAAAGGGCAUAUGGUGGAUGCCUUGGCACUAACAGGCGAUGAAGGACGUGGCUACCUGCGAUAAGCCUCGGAUAGACGGUAACAGUCUUUGACCCGGGGAUUUCCGAAUUGGACAACCAUUCCGGAGUAGUAUCCGGAAAUAUUUUACUGAAUAAAUAGGUAAAAUAGGCAAACGAAGGGAACUGAAACAUCUAAGUACCUUUUGGAAAAGAAAACAACAGUGAUUUCCUUAGUAGCGGCGAGCGAAACGGAAAGAGCCUAAACCUUGUGAUAUGUUAAAGACUGCAAUCGUUGUAUCACGGGUGUUGAGGGACUUUUAGGUAGAUUUGCAGUAUACCGAAGAGUUACAAAUCUUAGGGUUAAUUGAAUGAUGUGGAACAAUCAACCACAGACGGUGAAAGUCCGGUAAAUAAAAACUCUAAGACUCUUAAAAGUAUCCCGAGUACCGCGGAGCACGUGGAAUUCUGUGGGAAUCUGCCAGAACCAUCUGGUAAGGCUAAAUACUCGAUAGUGACCGAUAGCGAACAAGUACCGUGAGGGAAAGGUGAAAAGUACUCCUAACAGGAGGGUGAAAUAGAACCUGAAACCAUAUGCUUACAAACGGUAGUAGUCUAUAAAAGCAGCUUGCUGUUUUAAUUAGAUGACUGCGUGCCUUUUGCUUAAUGAGCCAACGAGUUACUCGUAUAUUGCAGCGUAAGUUUUUAAGAAACGAACGCAUAGCGAAAGCAAGUCCGAACAGGGCGAUAAGUAAUAUGCGGUAGACGCGAAACCGUGUGAUCUAUUCUUGACCAGGAUGAAAUAUCGGUAAAACGAUAUGGAGGUCCGAACUAGUGUGGGUUGAAAACCGCUUGGAUGAGUUGAGAAUAGGAGCGAAAGACCAAUCAAACUCGGAAAUAGCUCGUACUCCCCGAAAUAGCUUUAGGGCUAGCCUCGGAACAGUAUUUUGUAGGUAGAGCACUAACUGGGCUAGGGCCGCCACAGCGGUACCAAACCCAAAUAAACUCCGAAUGACAAAAAUAUGUUUUCCGGGAGUCAGGCAGUGAGGGAUAAGCUUCAUUGCCGAGAGGGAAAUAACCCAGACCACCAAUUAAGGUCCCCAAGUUUAUGUUAACAGACUAAGGAUGUUAAGUUGCUUAGACAACUAGGAUGUUGGCUUAGAAGCAGCCAUUCAUUUAAAGAGUGCGUAAUAGCUCACUAGUCGAGCGACUUAGCGCCGAUAAUACACGGGACUAAACAUAACACCGAAAUUGUGGAACCUGAACUCGUUUCAGGUUGGUAGGGGAGCAUUCUAUCGGCGACUGCAGUGAAUGCAGGUCUUCGGAUGAAGGUGUCAGGCGACUGAUGCUGGAGCUGAUAGAAAAGAAAAUGUUGGCAUAAGUAACGAUAAUGCAUACGAAAAAUAUGCACACCGUAAAUCCAAGGUUUCCUGAGCAAUGUUAAUCAUCUCAGGGUUAGUCGGUCCCUAAGCUGAGGCCAAACGGCGUAAGUAAUGGGAAACAGGUUAAAUAUUCCUGUACCUUCGACAUUUAAACCAAAAUGACGCAAAAGUGAAAGGAAAGCCGCCUGAUGGAUGGCGGUCUAAGGUCGUAGUUUCGAGAAAUCGGGAUGAAAGCCGAACGGGAUGGCGCAAGCCUACAAACUUUCCCUAAUCAUGUUGCCAAGAAAUAGUUUUGGUGUAUACUAAGAAGUCCGUACCGUAAACCGACACAGGUAGAUGAGGAGAAUAUCCUAAGGUGCUCGAGUGAGCCGUAGUUAAGGAACUCGGCAAAUUAACCCCGUAACUUAGGGAAAAGGGGUGUCCCGAUUCGUCGGGAUCGCAGAGAAAUGGGUCAAGCGACUGUUUAACAAAAACACAUGUCUAUGCAAAGCCUUUAAGGCGAAGUAUAUGGACUGACACCUGCCCGGUGCUGGAAGGUUAAGAGGAGAGGUCAGCUUUGAGUAAUCGAGGCGAAGCUUUGAAUCGAAGCCCCAGUAAACGGCGGCCGUAACUAUAACGGUCCUAAGGUAGCGAAAUUCCUUGUCGGGUAAGUUCCGACCUGCACGAAUGGUGUAACGAUUUGACCACUGUCUCGACUACGGGCUCGGUGAACUUGUGGUACCGGUGAAGACGCCGGUUACCUGCAUAUGGACGAAAAGACCCCGUGCACCUUUACUGCACCUUAACAUUGGGUUUGGAUACAGCAUGUGUAGAAUAGGUGGGAGACUAUGAAGCGGUGGCGUCAGCCAUCGUGGAGUCGCAAUGUGAAAUACCACCCUUGUUUUGUUCGAAUUCUAACCUGGACCCUUGAAUCAGGGUUGGGAACAGUGUUAGGCGGGUAGUUUGACUGGGGCGGUCGCCUCCUAAAAAGUAACGGAGGCUUUCAAAGGUACCCUCAGCAUGGUUGGUAAUCAUGCUUAGAGCGCAAAGGCAAAAGGGUGCUUAACUGUGAGACUUACAAGUCGAACAGGUGCGAAAGCAGGACUUAGUGAUCCGACGGUAGAUUGUGGAAUUGCCGUCGCUUAAAGGAUAAAAGGUACGCCGGGGAUAACAGGCUGAUGGCUUCCAAGAGUUCACAUCGACGAAGUCGUUUGGCACCUCGAUGUCGGCUCAUCGCAUCCUGGGGCUGGAGAAGGUCCCAAGGGUUUGGCUGUUCGCCAAUUAAAGCGGUACGUGAGCUGGGUUCAGAACGUCGUGAGACAGUUCGGUCUCUAUCCUAUGCAGGCGCAGGAAAUUUGAGAAGGCUCGCUCUUAGUACGAGAGGACCGGAGUGAACGAACCAAUGGUGCGCCAGUUGUCAUGCCAAUGGCACUGCUGGGUAGCUAUGUUCGGUUGAGAUAAGCGCUGAAAGCAUCUAAGCGCGAAACUCGCUUCAAGAUUAAAUUUCCCUCCGUAGCAAUACGGAAUAAGACUCCAGAGAGAUGAUCUGGUUGAUAGGCUGCAGGUAUAAGUGUAGUAAUGCAUUCAGCCAAGCAGUACUAAUAAGUCGAAUGACUUUUCC